UACGGGGGGAGCAAGCGUUGUUCGGAUUUACUGGGCGUAAAGGGCGCGUAGGCGGCCAGCUCACGUCAGUUGUGAAAUCUCCGAGCUUAACUCGGAACGGUCAACUGAUACUGUGCGGCUAGAGUGCGGAAGGGGCAACUGGAAUUCUUGGUGUAGCGGUGAGAUGCGUAGGUAUCAAGAGGAACACCUGCGGCGAAGGCGGGUUGCUGGGCCGACACUGACGCUGAGGCGCGAAAGCCAGGGGAGCGAACGGG
rnacentral:rRNA from 1 species